CCUACGGGGGGCAGCAGUGGGGAAUAUUGGACAAUGGGCGAAAGCCUGAUCCAGCCAUGCCGCGUGUGUGAAGAAGGCCUUCGGGUUGUAAAGCACUUUCAGUGGGGAAGAAAGCCUUGGGGCUAAUACCCUCGAGGAAGGACAUCACCCACAGAAGAAGCACCGGCUAACUCCGUGCCAGCAGCCGCGGUAAUACGGAGGGUGCGAGCGUUAAUCGGAAUUACUGGGCGUAAAGCGCGCGUAGGCGGUCUGAUAAGCCGGUUGUGAAAGCCCCGGGCUCAACCUGGGAACGGCAUCCGGAACUGUCAGGCUAGAGUGCAGGAGAGGAAGGUAGAAUUCCCGGUGUAGCGGUGAAAUGCGUAGAGAUCGGGAGGAAUACCAGUGGCGAAGGCGGCCUUCUGGACUGACACUGACGCUGAGGUGUGAAAGCGUGGGUAGCAAACAGGAUUAGAUACCCCGGUAGUC
rnacentral:rRNA from 1 species